rnacentral:lncRNA from 1 species
UUGUUCUACAAUCCACCUGUUGAAUGAGCCCACUGUGCCGACUGAGCUGAUGGGGCAGAUCCCUCCUCCCAGUACAUCCUGCCUGGUGGAGCUCGGUACCUUGAGGAUCCAGACAACCAGGUCAGAAAACCCAGCCAGGAAGCGCUACUGGCCCUUCUGGAGCAAGGUCUCAUUUCCCAGUGUGACAUUGAAGGCUAAGUAUGUCCUGCUCUGCUGGAGCGGUCUGCUCCCAGCCGUGAUGAUGAAUGCAGGAAGGAGGCCAUGAG